rnacentral:rRNA from 1 species
CCUACGGGAGGCAGCAGUGGGGAAUAUUGGACAAUGGGGGGAACCCUGAUCCAGCAACGCCGCGUGAGGGAAGAAGGAUUUCGGUAUGUAAACCUCUUUUCGCAGGGAAGAAAGAAAUGACGGUACCUGAAUAAGAAGCCUCGGCUAACUACGGGCCAGCAGCCGCGGUAAUACGUAGGUGGCAAGCGUUAUCCGGAUUUAUUGGGUGUAAAGGGAGCGUAGGCGGGAAUGCAAGUCGGAUGUGAAAGGCGCGGGCUCAACCCCUGGACUGCAUUGGAAACUGUAUGGCUGGAGUGCAGGAGAGGGAAUCGGAAUUCCGGGUGUAGCGGUGAAAUGCGUAGAUAUUGGGAGGAACACCAGUGGCGAAGGCGGGUUACUGGACAGUAACUGACGCUGAGGCGCGAAAGCGUGGGGAGCAAACAGGAUUAGAUACCCUUGUAGUC